rnacentral:tRNA from 1 species
UGGGCUCGUAGCUCAGCCUGGUUAGAGCGUUCGACUGAUAAACAAAUCAGACAUCGAAAGGUCUGGAGUUCAAAUCUCCGCGGGCCCAU